rnacentral:tRNA from 1 species
GAUAUAGCUCAGAGGAACAGCACCUGUCUGGCAAGCAUGAGGCCCUGAGUUCUAUUCCCAGUAUC